rnacentral:rRNA from 1 species
UACGAAGGGGGGCUAGCGUUGCUCGGAAUCACUGGGCGUAAAGGGUGCGUAGGCGGUCGUGCAAGUCGGAUGUGAAAUCUCAGGGCUCAACCCUGAAACUGCAUUCGAUACUGCGCGGCUAGAGUGCUGGAGGGGAGACUGGAAUUUACGGUGUAGCAGUGAAAUGCGUAGAUAUCGUAAGGAAGACCAGUGGCGAAGGCGGGUCUCUGGACAGUUCCUGACGCUGAGGCACGAAGGUCAGGGGAGCAAACGGG